AUUGAACGCUGGCGGCAUGCCUUACACAUGCAAGUCGAACGGCAGCGCGGACUUCGGUCUGGCGGCGAGUGGCGAACGGGUGAGUAAUACAUCGGAACGUACCCUGUUGUGGGGGAUAACUAGUCGAAAGAUUAGCUAAUACCGCAUACGACCUGAGGGUGAAAGUGGGGGACCGCAAGGCCUCACGCAGCAGGAGCGGCCGAUGUCUGAUUAGCUAGUUGGUGGGGUAAAGGCCCACCAAGGCGACGAUCAGUAGCUAGUCUGAGAGGACGAUCAGCCACACUGGGACUGAGACACGGCCCAGACUCCUACGGGAGGCAGCAGUGGGGAAUUUUGGACAAUGGGGGCAACCCUGAUCCAGCAAUGCCGCGUGUGUGAAGAAGGCCUUCGGGUUGUAAAGCACUUUUGUCCGGAAAGAAAUCGUGCUGGUUAAUACCUGGCGUGGAUGACGGUACCGGAAGAAUAAGCACCGGCUAACUACGUG
rnacentral:rRNA from 1 species